rnacentral:rRNA from 1 species
UACAGAGGGUCUCAAGUCGUUGUUCGGAUUCAUUGGGGCGUAAAAGGGUGCGUAGGCGGCGCGGUAAGUCGGGGUGUGAAAUCUCGGAGCUUAAACUCCGAAACUGCAUUCGAUAACUGCCGUGCUUGAGGACUGGAGAGGAGACUGGAAUUUACGGUGUAGCGGUGAAAUGCGUAGAUAUCGUAAGGAAGACCAGUGGCGAAGGCGGGUCUCUGGACAGUUCCUGACGCUGGAGGCACGAAGGCCAGGGGAGCAAAACGGG